AGUUCAGUAUUUUCUGUAGAGAAGGCUGUUCAGAGAGAGAAAGCAAAUCAUAUUCAAACAAAAUCUUGAAUACGCUGUUCAGUUUGAAGUCAGGACCCAUUUCAGCCCCAGAGCAGUUCCUGCAGCCUCUCCACAGAAACAAAGCACCGAACAAAGGCCAGUGUGGAAAAACAUACUCAACGGAAUCUCUGUGUUUAGAGAAACCCUAGGGGAUGGCAAAUGGCUCUCGAAGUUAGCUGGCUGAGCAUGUGAGCAGUCCGUGCGAGCAAGAUCAUUGUUGUCUCCAGCAGUUAAGAGCACCAGUUGCAGGAAUUUCAUCAGGGGCAUACAAGUCGUGGAUUUGACUGGGACAAUUUCUUGUACAUUUCCAUUGUUUUGAAUAAGAGGAGGAAGCUGUGCUGUGAAGGAUCCUUUUUCAUCAUGAUUAUUGCAUCCACAGAAGCAGUGAUAAAUUCUAAUAGAUAAUGCAACUCAGUCUACUUGGAUGGUCACACCUGAGACUGGAGAAGACCUGCUGCCUUCUGCUGAGCCACACAUUCCUCACAUGCUCCUUCACAAUGCUGCAAGCCAUAUUUAUUCAUUUAAAAGCUAGUUCCUCGCUGUUUCUUGUACAUCAAUUCUUUUAAAACUUUUACAAAACAAACUAAAUUUAAAGAGGAAAUUAUUUACUGAUGGAACUAAUGGCCUGAAAAUAGUUGCCCAAAAUAGCAUUGCACAUAGCAACAGGAAGUCGUUUAUAUACUAGGAAGUCUCUUUCAAAUGUGCUUGGAUAUUGCCAAAAUUCUCUGCCUUAUAAACUAAGGAGUCCUUUUUUUUAUUUUUUAGAGUCAACACAGCAAGAAUAGUCUUAUAUAGACUAUAAGCUCCUGGUACACUGCGUCUACACUGCUCACUGCAGUAUCCCAACAUCUAAGACCACGGUCUUAGAUGUCUGGUAUAGGACUGGUGCUCAGUACACAUUGAAUGAAUAAAUGAAUGAAUAUAGCAAAGCAUUCCAUGAUGUUCUCUUGAAUUCAUUUAUUCUUUGAAAUUUGGUUAAUUUUUUUGUGUUUUUGGUGCAGUGGUUGUGUACUACUAGGGGUAUGAUAUGGGUUCUUCAAUAAAUCUCUUCAAAUUAUAAUAAAGAUUUAGUGCUAACCUUCUGCUCACUGUCUCCCUCUAAGUACUACAGAUGGAUAUGAUUAGCAUGCAAUUUAUCAUCUUGAUGGAAUUCAUGUCUUACAGGCAUAUGGCUUUCAAAAUUGAAGUAUCUAGAUUUAUUUUAUUUUGUCAAAUAGAAAAUGGUUUCGCUCUAUUGAGAUUCCUACACUUAAAAAUUUAUAUAGACCUUAAAAAGAUCCUAGAGAAGAGUUUGAAAAGUAUAGUUAAGCAUUCUUCUAGCCACAUAGACUAUAGAAGAGAAUAAGUUUAAGGAAAUCAUCAAGUCAAGUCAAGAACAUAGUAAAAAUGGUAACGUACCACCUUUCAUGUAAGAUAAAACCAGAUAAGAUUUUAAAAAGAAGCGUUUAUGCUAUGCUUAGGAAGCCAAUCCUGUUGAAGAAACUGAUAUUGCAGCCAUAUCUGUCUGUGAGUAGUUGUAACAAUGCUGUAGGUAACAUUUCUGAGAGCAUGAUACAGUGCAGGGGGAAUCAGUCUGUGGUCUUGGGGUCCUCAGGGAAAGGGGUAUAUGAGGAGUUCUUCCAAAGUGGCCUCUAAAUCCACCUGAAUAGUAAACAGUGUCUGACAACUAAAUAAAUAAUUUCCAUGUGUACUUACUGCUGUGUUUUAAAUGGAUGCAAGGGCUGGAGUGAUAACUACAGUUUAAUUUGUGAAAAGAUUUAUAGAUUUUGUAGCACUUGCAGAUUUUAUGGACUUUCUCUGCAAUUAAAUAUUGAUAGUUCA